CUUCUCAACCUUCCUGCCCCCUAAACACACAGUAAUGCCACAAUAUCGGUAAGGCCAUGUCCCUACUGAUACCCAAAUCAACACCUUUGGGCUUUUGUAAUUGUAUAUUCUGUUAAUAUAUGUAAUAUGUAUAAAUAAUUUUUGACAGCUGUGUAAUUGAAUUGAAUUUUGCACUUCGUCAGUGCAUGAAAAUGAUGGUUGUUCCAUUGCAGUUCUAAUGCUCAGUCGACCAGUAACUGAACAUUAUUUAUUUUGAGGGAAAUAAGUAUCCAACUAUAAUGGUCCAUCCAUCCAUCCAUCCAUCGCCUUGACCCAGUACGGGGUCAUAGUGAGCCUGUCCCAGGCAGAGGAAGACUAGGAACUCCUCAGAUACGACGCUGGUCCGACGCCACGGAUGUGGAACCGCAUGAGAACCGCCGGCAACACAGACGCAAGUCAGCCCUCCUGAUGUCCCGGUAGCGGGAGACGCAGAUCCAGGAAAAAACCAGAACAUCCAGUAAGACCCACGUGACCAUGUGGGGAGCAGGCAAAAGUCACACAUGUGGAACUAGGAUGGGAAUCGAAUCCAUAACCCUGGAGCCGAAUUAAAAAAAAAACAGAUGAAUUCACCAGUAAACAUGGCAUGAACCAGCUAGUAUAUCUCUGGACCCUUAUGCUCCUUCAGAAAUGCUCUCCUGGAAGAAGAUCAUACUGGAAGCCUUCCCACCAGCCUGCUCCCCCCCCCACGUGAGAAUCAGAUGGGCACCUGGGAGAGAGUGGGCGGCCGAGGGGGCGGGGCUCAGAACAUGCCUUGUGUCCGCAUCCCGGAGUG